UACGGAAGGCAGCAGUGGGGAAUAUUGCACAAUGGGCGAAAGCCUGAUGCAGCUAUGCCGCGUGUAUGAAGAAGGCCUUAGGGUUGUAAAGUACUUUCAUCGGGGAGGAAAAACAAAACUAAUAAUUUUAUUUCUUGACGUUACCCGAAAAAGAAGCACCGGCUAACUCCGUGCCAGCAGCCGCGGUAAUACGGAGGGUGCUAGCGUUAAUCAGAAUUACUGGGCGUAAAGAGCACGUAGGUGGUUUUUUUAAGUCAGAUGUGAAAAUCCCUGGGCUUAACCUAGGAACUGCAUUUUGAAACUGAAAUACUAGAGUAUCGUAGAGGGAGGUAGAAUUCUAGGUGUAGCGGUGAAAUGCGUAGAUAUCUGGAGGAAUACCUGUGGCGAAAGCGGCCUCCUAAACGAAUACUGACACUGAGGUGCGAAAGCGUGGGGAGCAAAACAGGGAUUAGAUACC
rnacentral:rRNA from 1 species